GCAACGAAAAGAAAAAGAAAAGGCAGCACCACCACAGGAAGGGGUGGGUGUUGUUGAAAAUAAAAUGGGGAAAAGGAUAUUUACUUAUGUUUGUUAUACUAUUCAAGAACCUCAUAUUUGCUAUGACCACAUAUGACUACAGAUGCCAUUACUGCGAUAAAUAUGUACAAUUAUUUUUGGCCUAAGUCGGGGACAUCAGAUGCCAAUAACAGUAUAUAUGAAUCAAAGAAAGUAAAACAAACUUAAAAAAGAUGUUCCUUAUUCUCAUUUAUCAGCACACCAUCCAUGGGGAAACACAGAGGAAAAUAGAAAUACUACCCCAACAUAACAUUUUAAACAACUUAAAGAUUUCUUCCUAGCAAGAGCAGCUGCAGAAGUAGAUGGCCUAAUAAGUUGGAAAGUUAAUUCUCAUACAUUCCUCAAUGAUCAUACAAUCAAUGAAACAUAAGGUUCCAGCACAUCUAAAACCAUAGUGAUAGGCAGUUAAGACUUCACCUUAUAGCAUGCAAUGAAAAAAAAA
rnacentral:misc_RNA from 1 species